rnacentral:rRNA from 1 species
AUGAACGCUGGCGGCGUGCCUAAUACAUGCAAGUCGAGCGAACAGAUGAGGAGCUUGCUCCUCUGACGUUAGCGGCGGACGGGUGAGUAACACGUGGAUAACCUACCUAUAAGACUGGGAUAACUUCGGGAAACCGGAGCUAAUACCGGAUAAUAUAUUGAACCGCAUGGUUCAAUAGUGAAAGACGGUUUUGCUGUCACUUAUAGAUGGAUCCGCGCCGCAUUAGCUAGUUGGUAAGGUAACGGCUUACCAAGGCAACGAUGCGUAGCCGACCUGAGAGGGUGAUCGGCCACACUGGAACUGAGACACGGUCCAGACUCCUACGGGAGGCAGCAGUAGGGAAUCUUCCGCAAUGGGCGAAAGCCUGACGGAGCAACGCCGCGUGAGUGAUGAAGGUCUUCGGAUCGUAAAACUCUGUUAUUGGGGAAGAACAAAUGUGUAAGUAACUAUGCACGUCUUGACGGUACCCAAUCAGAAAGCCACGGCUAACUACGUG